AUGAGCCUCGCUGCUCUGACUAAUGCCACUCUGUCCUCGGCAAUCACAGGGCAUAGAAGGUUGCAGGGCCGCCAGCCCCUCCCAGUGACAAGAAUGAAUGUCACAGCUGUGGAGCAGAGCCAGCUCCUCCCCUGGCCUCCCGGAGCCGGGCACUCGGUCCGUGUACCAUUGGCAGCACCAGCCUCAGACCAGCGCCAAGCAUCAGGCAGAUGGACAGAGGGAGAGAGAGACAGAUGGCUGUUUCCAGAGGAACCAGGAUUCGUGACCACACCACCACACACCAGGCGACUGCGGGACCCCACGGCUGGAGGACACACAGGACAGAGCUCAUGCACGGAUCCAGCACUGCGUUUUUCCCUGGAAAUGGGGACAGAGACACCCUGGUCUCCAAGGGCUGUGGCGAGGAUUCGGUGACCCAAGGCAGAGAGGUCCUGCAGCGGGCUGUGGCUGGGUGUGGGCAGGGCCUUUGCUCCUCUGGUUACUGCCUGCUUUGGCCUCCCCAGCCUGUGGGGCCUGCGAGGGGAACUCAGGGCGCUUGCUGGGCAUGGCAGGGGCCCGUGAUGUUCACAAGAUUCUGCUCCUGUCCAUCUGAUUCCUGCCCUUGGUCCAGGCCACAUCUAUGACAUCUGUGUGGUCACCGCCUCAUCUCUCAUGCGACUUCCCUGGAAAGGAGGCGGUAUGGGCCAGGGGAGUGGGGCUGUGGACGGCUCUGAGAGGUGGAGAGGGGCUGAGGUGUAGGAGGGUCAGGCAGUGUGUGCUUGGGACCAGAUUUAAAGCCAGUGUUCCACCCCAGGUUGGCUUCAACCUCCAGCUUCCUUGAUCUAAUAAGAACAGUCUGCCCCAGAGUUGCUUCUGUCGCUUCAAUUUUUAAAGACUAAAUACAGGUUCUUCUGUUUCAUUAAAACAACAGUGAGCAAACCUUCCAGCCUGCCCUCCACCCACAGCUCCAGGCUCCAGGGGGCACAGGGCAAGGCUAAAGAAGAGAGCUUUAUGAAAUAAACAUCCCGCCCCCGUGCUGACUUCCUGUUUCACCUGUGGCAAUGCAAGCUGCUGGUGUGCAGCAGGUCUCCCCUGUGAACAUCCC
rnacentral:lncRNA from 1 species